UAGGACUUUUUCUCUCUCAUUUCCAGGCCACUCCCUCAAACGGCUUGCUUUACUUGCUUGGUGGGAGGGGGGGCCUGCCCUCGGGUUUCAUUUCACCCGAGAGGAGGUCACAGCGCCCCCAAGUGGUCGCAGUGUCCACGGUCCGGGCCGGGGAGGUGCGGCAGGUCGGGCUGGGCCUAGGGGUAGGACGGGGACAGGGCAUCAGAUGCUCUUUGAGGCGCUGUAUUCCCAGGCGCUGUUCCCUCUGCCUGGGAAGGCUUUCCCUGCUUUUCCUAGCGACAUCCUGCAAUUUUUUUUGUAUUUUGAGACGGAGUCUCGCUCUGUCGCCCAGGCUGGAGUGCCGUGGCGCGAUCUCAGCUCCCUGCAACCUCCGCCUUCCGGGAUCGGGUUCAAGCGAUUCUCCUGCCUCAGCCUCCCGAGUAGCUGGGAUUACAGGCGCCCACCACCACGCCUGGCUAAUUUUUGUAGUUUUAGUAGAGACGGGGUUUUGCCAUGUUGGCCAGGCUGGUCGCGAACUCCUGACCUCAGGUGAUCCACCCACCUUGGCCUCCCAAAGAGCUGGGAUUACAGGCAUGAGCCACUGCGCCCAGCCACAUCCUCCAAUUUUAAGCCUCAGCUAAGGAAUGAUUGAUUUCUCUCCUAAGCCUUCUCUCUGGCCUUAGGCUGAAAACCAGCUGUCCUUUCUGUGCUCCCAGGAGCCCAACCUGUUCCUGCUCCACUAUCCCAUGCUGGCCUAGGAGGCUCCAGACAGCGGGCUGCUUCCUCAGCACCCAGCACGACGCCACCAAAAUGUCCCCUUGGAUGUGCACAGUCCUCUUUCACAGGGAAACUUCCAAAUAUUGAAUUAUAAGCAGCCCACAAAGUCCAAAAGAGGGGUUGGAGAGAGGUAGCUGGAGCUGACCGUGGUCACUUCCAUAGCAGUUGUGGUCCUUGGAAAAGUUUUCUGGUGGGAGACAAAAAUCUGACUUCCUGAAAUUUCCACCCUGUGGUUCCAGCCUGCUGGCUGCAGCAGCCAUUCUGAAAGCAGAGAUUUGCCCUUGGCUCCCUGAAUAUCACUUUCUGGGGUUGAGAGAUCACAUGCUGUGGAGGAAGCCAGCCGCCAUGUUGUGAAGGCACGCAAGCAGCCUACAGAGGUCCACAUGUUGAGGAACUGAGGCCUCCUGCAAACAGCCAGCAAUGACUUGCCAGGCAUAAUAGCUACUUUGCAAAUGGGUCUUCCAGCUCGUCAGGCAUUCAAAUGACUGUAGCCUGACUGACAACUGACUGCAACCUCCUGAGACCUUGAAUCAGAACUGCCCAGCUCCCAAAUUCCUGACCCAUAGCAUCUGUGGGGUAUAAUAAAUGUUUCGGAAUAAUUAAUUACACUUCAAUAGACAA